GCUGUACUUAGAUAAGGAUACACCAGGAUAGGGUCAAUAAAGGCAUAAAGACAGUUAGCUAGCCAGCUAGCAUCCAGCCAAGACAGCGCUGUAUGCUGUUCAUCGGUGUACGUGGUGUACGCCUGCGCAAUGUGGCCUUUCGUCUUCUUCUAUGGCUGAUUCACCGGGUUUUCUGGACGCUACUGACCCCCAGAGGUGACAGAUUGAUUCUCUCAUAUGUGCACCAUAAUAUCACACAGAGGCUUGCGUUUCAAGUCAGGCACUGUGGCAUCAGAAGCAGGAUAACCUACAGGAAGUAGCAUCAGCAGCUUCUCGUUGGCUGGCCGUUUGAGGAGGAGCCUGAGCUGGGGGCCGCAGUUCAGGGGCGUUGAAGUGACGGUAACAAGGCCCACGUUCUGAUUACCAAGUGGACAGAAAGCAUAGACAUAAUGCUUUUAUGAGACAAAUGUGAAAAUCAAUUUAGUUUAUCCAUAAUAAUAUGAACUUUCAAGAGGCUGGGAAGAUCCAUAUAGCACUAUGUAGACUCCUCACCUGUAAUGCAGCCAGCAGGAUCCCACAGGAUAUGGAGACACUGAUUUCAUUGUAGUAAUGUGUCUUUUUCUUGCCAUUGGGGAGAAUCCCAUAGGUCUGUUUGAAGAUGAGGACCAGGUAUGGAGCAACAUCCAAAUACUCUUUCAUCCAGUUUGUUCUGCAAGAGUAAGGACGUAGUGAGAAAAAGGGAGAGACAAUGUAUUGAUAGAAAUGCGUGUGUGUGUGUAUGGUUGCUCACCUUAAUUUGGCCAAAUCAUUGACCCACUUGUCCCCCAUUCUCUGACGGUAGUUGACCUCCUCCUCUUCUUCCACUAUCUGUCUGAUCUGGUGCUUCGUCUCUGGGUCUGACACCACGACGAACGUCCAGG